rnacentral:rRNA from 1 species
GUCUAUGGCCAUGCUACCCUGAAGGAGCCCGAUCCCAUCUGAUCUCGGAAGCUAAGCAGGGUCGGGCCUGUCUAGUAGUUGGAUGGGAGACCACCUAGGAAGACCAGGUGCUGUAGGCA